rnacentral:RNase_P_RNA from 1 species
CCAGACGGUCGGACGACCGCUGGCGGUAUGAGAGAAACCAUAUCGCUAGAGGAAAGUCCGGGCUCCACGGGAAUACGGUGCCGGCUAACGGCCGGCGGGGGUGACCCCAGGGAUAGUGCCACAGAAAACAGACCGCCAGCGCAAGGACCCCAGUUCCCCGCCGGCAAGGGCGAAACGGUGCGGCAAGAGCGCACCGCGCCCCUGGCAACAGGGGCGGCAGGGCAAACCCCACCGGGAGCAAGACCGAAUAGGGGCGGCCGGCGGGCCAAACCGGUGCAAGCCGGGGUGGUGACGCAGGGGCAUUUCCGUCCCGUCGCCCGGGUAGGUCGCGUGAGGCGCGCCGCGAGGCGCGUCCCAGAGGAAUGGUCGUCCCCUGCUGAACGGCAGGGACAGAACCCGGCUUACAGGCCGUCUGGCAUU